GCAAGUCGAACGAAGUAGCAAUACUUAGUGGCAGACGGGUGAGUAACAUGUAGGUAUCUGCCCUUUGGCCUGGAAUAACACGAGGAAACUUGUGCUAAUACCGGAUAAGUCUUUACGGAGAAAGCUUUAUGCACCAUUGGAUGAGCCUGCACUUGAUUAGUUUGUUGGUGGGGUAAUGGCCUACCAAGACUGUGAUCAAUAGCUGAUUUGAGAGGAUGAUCAGCCACAUUGGGACCGAGACACGGCCCAAACUCCUACGGGAGGCAGCAGUGGGGAAUCUUGCACAAUGGAGGAAACUCUGAUGCAGCGAUGCCGCGUGAGUGAAGAAGGCCUUUGGGUUGUAAAGCUCUUUCGUCGGGGAAGAAAAUGACUGUACCCGAAUAAGAAGGUCCGGCUAACUUCGUGCCAGCAGCCGCGGUAAUACGAAGGGACCUAGCGUAGUUCGGAAUUACUGGGCUUAAAGAGUUCGUAGGUGGUUGAAAAAGUUGGUGGUGAAAUCCCAGAGCUUAACUCUGGAACUGCCAUCAAAACUUUUCAGCUAGAGUAUGAUAGAGGAAAGCAGAAUUUCUAGUGUAGAGGUGAAAUUCGUAGAUAUUAGAAAGAAUACCAAUUGCGAAGGCAGCUUUCUGGAUCAUUACUGACACUGAGGAACGAAAGCAUGGGUAGCGAAGAGGAUUAGAUACCCUCGUAGUCCAUGCCGUAAACGAUGUGUGUUAGACGUUGGAAAUUUAUUUUCAGUGUCGCAGGGAAACCGAUAAACACACCGCC
rnacentral:rRNA from 1 species